AGAAACACAACAAUUUUUCCAAUGCCUUAUCAGUUGGAUAUAACUUACAGCAGAAUUUCAUACCACUACAAAUUAGAUCAAAAUCUAUCUACCUGGGAUACAUGACAACUCACAUAUGGAAAGUGUAAAUAGUCCUCAAUAAUAUGUUAUUGAUAUUAGUUUGUUUUAACCUUUAGCACACCGAAGCAGCAUAUUUCAUACCUUUACAAACUAGAUUAAAAUCUGUCUACCAAGGAUGCAUGACAACUCACAUAUGGAAAGUGAGUGUAAAUAGUCCUGAAUAUAUGUUAUCACAUGUAAUUUGUUUUAAUCUCUAGCACAUUGAAGCACUUGUUGGACUAUCAAUUCUCUAUUGUGGGUUAGGCAGCAAGGAGAAUGUUGAAGGGCUUUGUUUGUUUAAUCUUAGAACUAGAAUGACUCAUAUAAUAUACUUUGUAUUGUAUAAAGACUGAGUUGCAGAUGAGGAAGGUGUGUUUUUCUUUUUUGUCAAACAGAGGAGAACAUUUUUCUUGGUUCCCAAGGAAGAUCACCACAUUACUUGUACCAGAAAUAGUAGUAUACUCACAGAUGUAUAAAGUCUUUUGGAAUAAUACUAUACAUAGCACAGAAUAGGACACAUUCAAGAUGAAUACAUUAUCUUUUGACCUAGACUUAAAGUAAACUUUAAAAUUGCUUCACUUAACGGCAGGAGACAGGUCUUUUCCUUUUCACACCCUCUAGAAUUAAGGAAUUUCACCUCUCCAAAGAAUGCCCUACACAAAUAUGGAUAUAAAUAUACCUAACGUUUCACAUGAACUUUGCUUUUCUCUGAUUCUUGACAGGUCUGGUGGAAGGUCAUGUAGAGAAUUCCGCCCUAGUCAAGACACUUCCUCCAGAAUUAAUUGGAAUUCCAUAGAACUCAAACAAGGAAAAUCCAUUAGUUCCACCUGACUCCAUAGAAUUGUCCAAUAAAUGAUUUGGGUGGAAAUGUAUCCCACUUCUGAGCAGAGGUUCUGGAUCAAUGUAACUUUACUGAAGAAAGCAUUCUAACAAUAGAUGCUCAAAAUAUAAUUCUUGAUUUGUACCUGCAUCAAUGGGCAGUUGAUAUGGAGUAAAGCUUCAAGUAGUGUUAAAGUAAAGGGAAACACAUGUUCUCUAUGGUAGGGUCUGUAGGAUCUUGUCCUCUUGUCCUUAGAGAAGAUGGACAGGAUCCUACUGAAUCUACUACAGUAUAGAGAAUGCAUUAGUCUUGCCUAUCAAUGCCUUCAUGGAUCUAUUUAACAGCUCUAACUAGCUCUUUGUUCUAUCAGACCUAUUUACCUUCAGUUGGCCUUCUUCUAACACAGAAAAUUACAUGGUGUGUUUGGUGUAUGGUGUGCUAGUCCUUUGGUAGUUUUAUAGUAAAUGGCAAUACAGUUUUAUCUGUCCAUACCUGUUGUCAUUUCCCAUAUGGUUUCCGUUGGUAAGGUCUUUUGAAGUUAACCAAUGUCUUGAAAUUUUAGCUUACCUUAACUUGUAUCUAUACUAGUGAUCAGUUAUUAAAAGUCACCAGUAAAAAACAUAUGAAAGUUAUGUAGACGACUGGUAUUUAUUGGGACAAUUUGUAAUGAUUUACAUGAUAGAUAAUGCUGCAUAUUAGUACAGUUGAAUCUGUUUGCAAUGUACCUUUCUUCUGUUAACAUGUAGUGAUGAAUGUUGCACAACAUCAGCAUGUAGCGUAUCUAAAACUGCUUCAUCAUCAACCAACUGCAGUUACCAGUGUGGUUUCUGGGGGUAACCAGUACAAAGGUUAUGACGCAGGGCAUUGAUACGAUGUUAAAGGUUAAAACUUUUUUGGUGUAAGUCUUUUGACAACAGUCAGGUUUAUUUACUUUUCUCUAAUGUUCAUUCUCAAAAUUCCGUGCUCUCAGCCCCUCUUCACGCGCCUGGGUCACGCCGUGCCUCCCGCACGCCGCUCCCUCGUAAUGGUACAUGACGGAAUGAAAAACUUCCAGGUUUCCGCUAAUUCUUGCGCCGAGCGUGUCGUAACACGGGAUGAGUGCCCCAUGCCCGGAGCAGGUGCCGGGCUGCUUGUCCUGUUUCGCCUGGUGGUAACGAAAGGACCGCGCAUAAUUGGCAAACAAGAGUCUCCUCCCCAGCACAAUAGACUGGCAUGCUAAGGGUGAACCAAGGCAUGACUGCUUCAGAAAAAGAAACUGAUCUGCCUCUAAAUGAGGCACUUGGACAUUUCCUUCACAUUUUUGUAGAUGUUUUAAGCAGUUUACGUUUUCUCUUACUCACUUUCCCACUUCUACAACAUUAGCAUGAGGGACUAAUUCUCAGCAAACCUAUAGUUAUCAAGUAACAGGUCAAAUAACGUGAGGGGGCCACAAAAAUACAGCGCCAUUGUGUGCCGCCAAUUCAAACUGGGCCUGCUGGUCUCUGAUUGGUCGGUUGUAGGAAAUGGACUCCUGACCGGUGGUAAUCCUAGCUACGCUGCAACCCAAAACACCGACUUCUCAGGUUGCAGCUCCGCACCUCUGGAAACUAAAGAACCACUGGAUCAAAACGGCACCUGACUUUAUACAUGUACUGAUCCGAGACGCUAAAACUUGGCGGCCAAUCAUUGUCCUAAUGCUACCUUACCUGCGACCUAUAUAAAGUAACAACUGGACGCCUUUGCACUAUAAGAAUAACAUAUCUACCUUUGUUGACCCCCUCUUGUUUUGGCUCUUUUAAACCAUGGAUGCCAUGGAAGACUUACAUUCUAAAGGUCAGCUGUAGAUCGACUUACAAAUGAACAUCCUUGGAUUGACAUUACGUUGGUAAAAUGUCAUCCGUUAAGUACUGGUGACCCUGUUGCAAGGGACCUUAUCACAUUAGCAAGAAUCUAGGGAAUGUAUCCUUGCUACAUAUCUAAACAAACACUUAUGGUCCAUCCUAGAUCUUUUCCAAAACUUGAAAAUAGUCCAAACUAUUUGAAUACACUUUGCCAUCAAAGGAAAAAUCUUUGUUUUUCUUUCCACUCCUUUGGAAUAAGUCAUCCUGAACAGGGAAUAGAUCUAUUGCAUCAAGGUAAACAGGUAAACAAAAACAGUAAACAAACAACGAUAUAUGAAACUGGAAAGAAAAAAAUCAAUUUGACUUCUUCCUUUAAGUAAGACCGCAUUCCUUUCAAUCAAAACAAAAAUUGGCUCCUUUACAGGUUCAACCUAACACUGAGUGACCAUUUCAUAAAUACACUUAAUGUCAAACAGCUAUCACAUAAAUUUUAAAAGAAACAACAGUUUUCCUGUUCGUUGAGUAGACAUGGUUACCAGCAGGCAUGGUUCCUUUCACUUGUGAUCUUUGUGACCUGAUGCAUUAAGAACAAUAAACAGGGCUGGAAGUCUCAUAAACCACUCCAACAUUUCAGGAAUCCUCCCCUGGUAAUAGUACACCUUUUCUGGCUACACAAAAGUAACUUAAACUUUCAUAAAUCUAGUACAGGAUUAGAAACACUGUUAACAUGUAUCUUGGCACCUCCUGUUACACGUGGAAAAUCUCAAAGCCCAGCUAGAAUCAGACUACGUCUGUCAUUACUAUUCAAUGUAAAUUCUAAGUACAGGCAAGGAGGUUGAAAAAGGGGACCUCCUUGGUACAGGUGAUCUUUCACAAGUAAUUAGUGAUUUGCAUAAGCCUUCAGCUCUUGUCAUUUCCUGUUAGUUUAACCUACUUUUCUAAAACAUCAAACAAUGCAGACUACACUAACGCACACCUGAACCAUUACAAAGUAUCCGUACAGACAUUGUUACACUUGUAAAUAUGCCUGUUGCCUGGUAAAGAUAUCUUUUCUGACAUCAGAUAAAAUGGUGGGCAUGCUGGUAGGCUAGUACAAUCUGUGCAGCAGCUUGGGUUGUUUGGUAGCUCUUAUCAGGUGAAAAAUGCCAGCUGUCACUACCAAUUAGUAUCCCACUCAGUCAGCCUUGGCCUGCUACACCCAAAGUACACUUCUCCAACACACUGUUGGUUCAAAAUCUCGCACCAGGGUUAGAAUCUCCCAUCGUUCAUGCCAUUGUGUAUGUCUGUUUGGCUGGGAGACGACGCUAGGAGGGCCCGGAGAGCACGGACGGCGCAUAGAACGGCAGCCAGGCAGCUGUGUGCCGCUAGCUGGAAGAGCGUCUGCCACUCUCAAGGUGGUCAUGGGCGGAGAACCCUGGCUGUGAUUGGCAACCUGACGCCAGCAUACCUGCGAGCAGCGCCGCUAUGCGGACAACUGAAUAAACACAGAAGGCAAGACUGCAGGAUGAAAAGACCCUAUAUUCAGAAGUGUGCGUCCUAUAUAGUUCCAAGUGCUUCAGACUCAGAGUAUUAAAUUCAUUUGACCUGUUUGCUGCUGCAUAACAUUACAUCAGCGUUCUCAGAGGAAGUAUUAUCAUCAACCCUAUAAUAUUAGUGUUCUUUCGGCUAGCUAUAGGUAAUAGGAAUGCUAGUCUCCAGUUUCGACUACUCUUCUAUGUUUGAUUCAUUAUUGAACAAAUACAUUGCAUAUACUCAGAACCAUCUAGAGAAAGACCAUGGUUUAUGCAAGACAUUGAUAGACAUCUUGUAAGUAACUUUGUAAUCAAGUCAGGUCAACUUUAUUUUCUGUAAAGAGUCUGGAAACAGACUGAAGCUGUUUCAGAAACAUGUGACACAGACAAUGAUUAGCACAAGCUUAUCAUAUGAAUACAAUGUUGCUUGUAUGUAAUCCUAGGAGUAUUUCUUCAUCUAUCACUAUUUUAAGUGGGUAUUGCUUGUUAACAUUUCAUUUCUUCUAUCUUGUAGUCCAGAUCAAGUUUAUAUACAGUGCCAUUGAUUGACGAAUAUAAACAAUGGAAAUCCAAUAGUUUUACCCCAACAUUAAAUCAUUUGACAGGUCUACCAGCUUUUAGGUCAUAUCCACACCAAAUAAGAGUAAAUACUGUACAAUAAAACCUUUUUAUCAUAUCAUUCUUUAAUAAUGGAUUAUACCCCAUCUACAGUAUCAAUCCUUAACACUAACAGUGUACCUAUGAGAGGGGAUAGUGAUCAGCACAUUUGUUCACUUUAAGUAUUUCAAAAGGAGUAUGAGUACAUAACAGAUAAACAAUUAAAAAGGACAUACAAAACACCCAUACCACAUUAGCAUGAGAAAACAAUGUAAAAGUAACAUUAUCAACUUGUUACAACACAUUAAACAAUUCCCAUGAGUAAGUGAAAUUACUUAUCAGCUUUUCAAAAAAUAUUCUUUACAAAGAACCAUAGAAAAAAUAGUGUCAGCUCAUUCACAAA